rnacentral:rRNA from 1 species
GACGAACGCUGGCGGCGUGCUUAACACAUGCAAGUCGAACGGAAAGGCCCUGCUUUUGUGGGGUGCUCGAGUGGCGAACGGGUGAGUAACACGUGAGUAACCUGCCCUUGACUUUGGGAUAACUUCAGGAAACUGGGGCUAAUACCGGAUAGGAGCUCCUGCUGCAUGGUGGGGGUUGGAAAGUUUCGGCGGUUGGGGAUGGACUGGCGGCUUAUCAGCUUGUUGGUGGGGGAGUGGCUUACCAAGGCUUUGACGGGUAGCCGGCCUGAGAGGGUGACCGGCCACAUGGGGACUGCGGUACGGCCCAGAGGCCUACGGGAGGCAGCAGGGGGGAAUAUGGCACAAUGGGCGGAAGUCUGAUGCAGCAACGCCGGGGGCGGGAUGACGGCCUUCGGGUUGUAAACCGCUUUCGCCUGUGACGAAGCGUGAGUGACGGUAAUGGGUAAAGAAGCACCGGCUAACUACGUG